UUCAGGUUAGUUGAUUGGUGUUUGGACUACUGCAAAGUUCGGGAUGUGGACGUUAAUCCACUAGCUCAUCGAGUUUUCUAUGCUGGCUGCCAGGCUAUCAUGUGCGUGCUUUGCUUUCGAAUGAGGUCAAUAAUGAGCAUUCCACGGCCGAAGUCACAGCUUUUCCUCAUGCCGAUAGAAACAAUCCUAAAGCACAAAUCAGAUCCACUAAAGAUAUGCCUGCCAUCAGUAGUGGGGGAAUUUCUUAAACAGGCAAGAGCAGCUGGGCUUUCUGCAGUGUCCAAAACAUUUAUCUGUGAUGACAUACUGGAGUCUUAACUUUCAAGGGCUUUUGGUGGACUGGAGAGGCUAGACAUGUUCUUUCCUGUUGACCCGUGUUUAUUGAAGAAAAGCAAC